rfam:Schistosoma mattheei strain Denwood, Zambia genome assembly, scaffold: SMTD_contig0004366
AUGCAGCUAGCGAGUUCCAAAUAGAACGAAACGUACGUCCUGAAU